rnacentral:rRNA from 1 species
GAUGAACGCUGGCGGCGUGCCUAAUACAUGCAAGUCGAGCGAACAGACGAGGAGCUUGCUCCUUUGACGUUAGCGGCGGACGGGUGAGUAACACGUGGAUAACCUACCUAUAAGACUGGGAUAACUUCGGGAAACCGGAGCUAAUACCGGAUAAUAUAUUGAACCGCAUGGUUCAAUAGUGAAAGACGGUUUUGCUGUCACUUAUAGAUGGAUCCGCGCCGCAUUAGCUUGUUGGUAAGGUAACGGCUUACCAAGGCAACGAUGCGUAGCCGACCUGAGAGGGUGAUCGGCCACACGGGAACUGAGACACGGACCAGACUCCUACGGGAGGCAGCAGUAGGGAAUCUUCCGCAAUGGGCGAAAGCCUGACGGAGCAACGCCGCGUGAGUGAUGAAGGUCUUCGGAUCGUAAAACUCUGUUAUUAGGGAAGAACAAAUGUGUAAGUAACUAUGCACGUCUUGACGGUACCUAAUCAGAAAGCCACGGCUAACUACGUG